rnacentral:misc_RNA from 1 species
GAAAUGCGAUAAGUAGUGUGAAUUACAGAAUUCAGUGAAUCAUCGAAUCUUUGAACGCACAUUGCGCCCUUUGGUAUUCCUUAGGGCAUGCCUGUUCGAGCGUCAUCUAAACCUUCAAGCCCUGCUUGGUGUUGGGUGCCUGUCCCGCCUCCGCGCGCGGACUCACCUCAAAUCCAUUGGCGGCCCCCGCGUCGGCCACGAGCGCAGCAGAAACGCGAACUCGUGAGCCCGUCCGGGCGGCUCCCAGAAGCUACACCCACCCAGUUUGACCUCGGAUCAGGUAGGGAUACCCGCUGAACUUAAGC